rnacentral:sRNA from 1 species
UUGGCUCUUGCACCUCCUGGCCCUCUGGACUUGGUUAUGUGAUUGAGCUUCCAUGGCCUCCGUGUCUUUGUCUGUCAAUGGGUUUGAUAAAAGCGUUGACCUCUAGGUUCUUAGGAGGAUUAAUGAGAACAUUUUAUGUAAAGCUGCUUACAUGGAGCCUUGGUAUGUGCCGGAAAGCUUUAGCCCUUUAUUAAAAGUGACAGCAGGCCCAGCGCGGUGGCUCACGCCUGUAAUCCCAGCACUUUGGGAGGCUGAGGCGGGCAGAUCACUUGUGGUCAGGAGUUCGAGACCAGCUACUCGGGAGGCAGAGGCAGGAGAAUCGCUUGAACCUGGGGGGCGGAGGUUGCAGUGAGCUGAGCUCGCACCACUGCACUCUAGCCUGAGUGACAGAGUGAAACUCAGUCUCAAAAAAAAAAAAAAAAGAGGGCAGUAGUGGUGGGGGAGACCCCCAUCCCCCUUGCUGGAGUUUCCUAGGAAAGAAGGCUGGUGAGAGCUGUUGCUGGUGGUGGGCCCUGAGCCGCAGGGUCUGAGGGCCUACCCUGUGCUACCUCAGAGCUGCCUGAGAACUGGACGGACACGCGGGAGACGCUGCUGGAGGGGAUGUUGUUCAGCCUCAAGUACCUGGGCAUGACGCUGGUGGAGCAGCCCAAGGGCGAGGAGCUGUCGGCCGCCGCCAUCAAGAGGAUCGUGGCUACGGCUAAGGCCAGUGGGAAGAAGCUGCAGAAGGUGACUCUGAAGGUGUCGCCACGGGGAAUUAUCCUGACAGACAACCUCACCAACCAGCUCAUUGAGAACGUGUCCAUAUACAGGAUCUCCUAUUGCACAGCAGACAAGAUGCACGACAAGGUGUUUGCAUAUAUCGCCCAGAGCCAGCACAACCAGAGCCUCGAGUGCCACGCCUUCCUCUGCACCAAGCGGAAGAUGGCUCAGGCUGUUACCCUCACCGUAGCCCAGGCAUUCAAAGUCGCCUUUGAGUUUUGGCAGGUGUCCAAGGAAGAGAAAGAGAAGAGGGACAAAGCCAGCCAAGAGGGAGGGGACGUCCUGGGGGCCUGCCGAGACUGCACCCCCCCCUUGAAGAGCUUGGUCGCCACUGGGAACCUGCUGGACUUAGAGGAGACGGCUAAGGCCCCGCUGUCCACGGUCAGCGCCAACACCACCAACAUGGACGAGGUGCCACGGCCGCAAGCCUUGAGUGGCAGCAGUGUUGUCUGGGUGAGUGGUUGUGCGCCCAGCAGAUCGGUGAUCCUCAGCCUGACCUCUGGGUGAGCCUGGGGCUGCUCCAGGGACCAGGCCCUGGGACCCGUGACUUGUGGGCCUCUGGGAGAACCAGACCCAGCCCGGUAGUGCCCAGGCCCAGGAGAGGGGAUGAACAAUGUCCCUUUUGAACCUGAGGCUGCGUCCCCAACAGGCUUGGCUCCCAGCACAGCUGUCUCCUCACAAUGCUUGGCCUCUUGGCCUGAGCGUCCACACGGCUCUGCCCACCACAAGACCAGCCAAAGGCGCCCUUGUUCUUGGUGUGGCAGAGCUCACUCCUGACACCCCUCCCCCUCAGCUGCCUGAAUGAGGACCCAGAGACUUGGGCAGUCACCAGCUUGGUCCCUGACUCCCUCAGGGACUCAGGGCAAGCCCCCUGACCUCUCUGUCUCAGCUUUUGCAUCUCAGUGAGGGUGAUGACCUCUGCCAACAGAAUCUCCCCGAGGAACCUGAAAUUUAAUUUUAAUUUUUCAUUUGGAAAUAAUUUCAGACUGUGUUAGAAAAGUAGUACAAAGAAUUCCUGUUCACCCUUCAUCCAGAUUCCCCAGUUGUUAACAUCUUGCAUGACCACAUUACACUGGUCAGAAUCAGGAAACAAACACGAUACUGUGCUGUUAUAUAAUCUAUAGAACUUACACAUUUCUCCAGGUGCCCCUUCAGUGUCCUGUUUCUGGCCCAGGAUCCAUUGCAGAAUCACAUGUUAACUUGUCGUCUCUUUAAUUUUUAAAAAUCUGGGUACUGGGGGCUCCCCUGGUGUCCCUCGAGCCUGUUCUCUGCUGUUCAGGAACCACCCUUGCCACUUGCCCAUCCUCACCAGGAGGCCAUGGAGGGACCUCACCUGUCGCUUUUCUACUGAGGCUGUGGGACUCCUGGCAUCAGUUAUCCCUCAUGAGCUUGGAAUUUUGGCUUGGCUUUUGGAAGUAAAUGAAGGCAAGAAAACUUCCUUCCCCACCCUCUACCUUGUGGAAUUUGAAAGCCAUAGAAGUCAUCAGGUCUAACGCCCUCUUCUUAUUGAAGGAAAAGCUGAGUUUCAAAGAGGAGCAGUGACUUGCCCAAGGUCUCAUGGGCAGGUAGCAUGGAGCAGGGCACUGAACCCACCUGGGUCUCCAGACACCCUGGGACAUGCCCUUUCUCCUCUCCCACGUCUCCAGCUUUGGGUCCUUGGGCUGAGAUGCUGGCGAUGCAACCAGGCAGGAGGUCUGCCUGAGGCCGUGCCUCCAGGCACCCAUCCUGAGCUUGUGUCCUGAGUCCCUGUAGCUUAGCCAGGGGCUGGGACAAGCCCCGGCUGUGAGCAUGGGCUCCCCCAAACAUAGUUCUUAUCUCCUGCUUUGUUUUCCCCAAGGAGCUGGAUGAUGGCCUGGAUGAAGCGUUUUCGAGGCUUGCCCAGUCUCGGACGAACCCUCAGGUCCUGGACACUGGCCUGACAGCCCGGGACAUGCAUUACGCCCAGUGCCUCUCGCCUGUCAACUGGGACAAGCCUGACAGCAGCGGCACAGAGCAAGAUGACCUCUUCAGCUUCUGAGGGCCCGGGGCCAGCCGGACACAAGCGGCCCUGACACGUGACGGACCAAAGCCACCUGCUGCGGGGGAGCCGGUUCCGGUACCCACCCGCCACCUCUCCCAGCCCUCAGCACUGUCAGCCUGAAGAUCAGAGCUGCAGCCAGUCAGGCAGGGGAGAGAUUUUUUUUUUAAGCCCUGCUCUUUCUCUGAGAACCAAAAGAUGCCUUGAAUAUUUAUUCAGUGACUUCUGGCUUAUGCUUGGAAGCCAGUCUGCAUCAGGCACGUCUCCUGCUGCAUGACAUGUGCAGUGCUGUAAUCGGCUCCCGCUUGCUCUCCUGGAGCAAGCUCUGCCCUGGCUGUGGGUAUCAGGACUGUGACCAAAGCAUUUCUAGUCCCUUCUCUCUUUCUAAGGACCCAAAUUUCCCUGGGGGCAUCCUGCUUCCUGACAGCUGUUGGAUUUCAGUGAUUUUUUCCCCUCACCCCCCAGCACAGGAGAGCACCCACAGCCUCAGAAGGGGAAUGUGUCCUCCUGCUCUGCUUCCUCAGGGCCCAGCAGGCGGGGUUUGAGCCCUGGACCCCAGGCUCUUAGAGACUAAGGGGCAGCUCCUGACCAAAGACGAUACAGCUUGGCACUUUAAAGCAUUAACAGCAGGUGUGACCCUGAGGGCUCCUCCAUGGUGCUGCAUUGAAUCCAACUUUCCUUCUGUCCUUCCUCCAGGAGAAGGGGCCCAAGGUCCCCGUGGAUGGUCUCCACCUGUGCUUGGAACCAGUGUAAUUGGCUGCUCCCUGCUCCCAGGGACUGACACGGAGAUCAUCUGUGUGAUCGCCCUCCGUCGGGCCCCUCCCUGCCUUCUCCCCUCCAUGCAAGGCUGUGCUCUUCCUCUGGUUUCUGUGUGUCCGUUUGAGUGUCCGCGCCCCACCUCCCCAUACUUCCUGGGAUGGUGUGUGAAACCUGACACCUAGAUUUAUUCUCUGACCGCUUUACAGAUGAGGAAACUGAGGCCUCAAGCCCGGAGGGGUAGAGUGAAGAGUAGAACCCAGGUCUGAUGCCAAAGCUGCUUUCUUCUCUGCCUCCUCCUCACGCAACUCACACCUCCUUUUCUUCUAGCUUUGUUGUCCUCCCAGGAACCAAAAAACCCCAGCUAUUUUCUGACCAAAAUGUGUUUCAUAACAAACCAUCUGGUGCCUUUCCAUACAGAACUGGCAGGAGCCUCGUGUCCUGCUAGCUGUCUCUCUUGUUGAUUUCCGUGAAAAUGCAAGUGUUUGAAGUCUGCUCAUUCCGAGGGUGAAACAAAAUCCAACCCUGUCAGAAUCACGCUGUUCUCUUUGCUGACACUGUGACCCUGGGUCGGGACAUACCAGCAGCAAUCUGUCUUUAGAAUCUCUUUCCUUCCUCCCCUUUUGCCCCCGUGGGGCUCCUGGCAUCCUGAAAGCCAGCAAAGCCUCCAGCAUCUUUUCCAUCCUGAGGUGCCUCCCAGUGGCCUGGCUUGUCGGAGCAAGUUUCAUCAGCCCUAGGGAAAACACGGCCCUCCUGGGAACCUCCUUACCUGGAGUAACCGGACACCUUAGACGGAGGUGCCUGAGGGUGGGGUGGGAUUUGUAGGGUCAUUAUCAGAACAUGAGGAUAACUUCCUUGCCCCGGCUCUGUAGCCACCUCCUUGGCACCGGCCUCUGUAUUUGUCAUAAGGCGGCAUGGGCGAGGCCUGACACAGGCCAGCCUUGGCACGAGGGGGCCAGGGGUUCUGAGAAGCGCUGCCCUGUGAGGGCCACGCUGGCCUUCGUCUCCAUCUCUGGCUAACGGGCUGUCCGUGUGCCUCCUGUGUGUCUGCAGACAAGUCUUGCUGUGCUUUAUUUGUGAAACUUUAAUGAGGAAAAAACAAAUAAUAAAUGUUCUCAUUUUGAAACGC